CCCUUCGGGGACAAAGUGACAGGUGGUGCAUGGUUGUCGUCAGCUCGUGUCGUGAGAUGUUGGGUUAAGUCCCGCAACGAGCGCAACCCUUGAUUUUAGUUGCCAGCAUUUAGUUGGGCACUCUAAAGUGACUGCCGGUGCAAGCCGGAGGAAGGUGGGGAUGACGUCAAAUCAUCAUGCCCCUUAUGACCUGGGCUACACACGUGCUACAAUGGAUAGUACAAAGGGUCGCGAAGCCGCGAGGUGGAGCUAAUCCCAUAAAACUAUUCUCAGUUCGGAUUGUAGGCUGCAACUCGCCUACAUGAAGCCGGAAUCGCUAGUAAUCGUGGAUCAGCAUGCCACGGUGAAUACGUUCCCGGGCCUUGUACACACCGCCCGUCACACCACGAGAGUUUGUAACACCCGAAGUCGGU
rnacentral:rRNA from 1 species